CCUUCAGGUCAAAGAUGUGUCCUAUGAAAGGCUUCCUCUGGAAACUGUAUGUGUUGUAAGUGCCUAAGCAGCAGGCAGUGUGCACUAGUAAGGAGAGGACUGCUGCAUGCUGCAUUAUGCAACAGAAAUAAAGGCAGGGACUGUUUGGAAGGAGAGCCGGGGUAUCUUUCUGACGCCAUGAAUGACAGCUAAGUGGUUCUGGAAGAAUAAUAUGGGAGAAUCAAGAAUCAAAGAUAAUCGGAAAAAAAGAAGAAAAAAGUUCAAACUGUAAAAGGUAAAAUGGAAGGUUUACAACCCCCACUGAAAUUUCAGCUGACUGGCAAUAGAACUGAGAUUUGGAGGAUAUUCAAGCAACAGUCUGAACUGUACUUAUCAGAGAUCGAUUAUGAAGAAAAAUCUGAAAAAAACCAAAACUGCGCUUUUGCGCCAUGUAAUCAGGAAUGACGCAGUAGAGGUAUAUAAUAAUUUUGUCUUUGAAGAUGGAGAUAAUUUCAAUUUAAAGUUGAUAGUGGACAGAUUUGAAGUAUUUUGUAUGCCUAAGUGUAAUUUAACGUAUGAGCGAUAUAAAUUCUUCACGUGUGCGCAGAGAGCUGCUGAAACAAUUGAUCAGUAUGUUACUGAGUUAAGAAAGCGUAGUAGAACAUGCGAGUUUGGAUUGCUCACGGACUCUCUCAUUAAAGAUGGACUUGUUUGUGGCAUUCGAGAUAAUGCUCUGAGACAAAGGCUGUUGAGAGAGCAAAAAUUAAAUUUUGAAAAAGCUUUGGUGCUUUGCAAAGCUUCUGAGACCUUGACAGUGCGGACUGAAGAGCUUUUUGUCGAAAACUGCAAUGUAAAUACUGUCUUUUAAAAAAAAAGUGUGACUAUUUGCAAUGGCUAUGGUAAGAUUAAUCAUUUUUUAUGCUGUUGUAAAAGUAGAAAGAAGGAAAAUAAACUGAAACAAGUAAAUGCUGUGCCUGAAGAUGAAUGUGAGGAAUUUUAUAUAGAUGUGCUUUGUGAAAAUAAAUAAAAUAAGAAUGACUGGACCAUUCCAUUGCAAGUGAAUCAAAAUGAUAUUCUAUUUAAACUUGAUACUGGAGCACAAGUAAGUGUUCUUGG